rnacentral:misc_RNA from 1 species
GAUGAAGAACGUAGCGAAAUGCGAUAAGUAAUGUGAAUUGCAGAAUUCAGUGAAUCAUCGAAUCUUUGAACGCACAUUGCGCCCGCCAGUAUUCUGGCGGGCAUGCCUGUUCGAGCGUCAUUUCAACCAUCAAGCCCCCGGCUUGUGUUGGGGACCUGCGGCUGCCGCAGGCCCUGAAAACCAGUGGCGGGCUCGCUAGUCACUCCGAGCGUAGUAGCAAUCACCUCGCUCAGGGCGUGCUGCGGGUUCCGGCCGUUAAACAGCCUUACAAAACCCAAGGUUGACCUCGGAUCAGGUAGGAAGACCCGCUGAACUUAAGCAUAUCAAUAAGCGGAGGA